UACGUAGGGUGCAAGCGUUGUCCGGAAUUAGUGGGCGUAAAGAGCUCGUAGGCGGUCUGUCGCGUCUGCUGUGAAAACUCGGGGCUUAACCCCGGGCCUGCAGUGGGUACGGGCAGACUAGAGUGCGGUAGGGGAGACUGGAAUUCCUGGUGUAGCGGUGAAAUGCGCAGAUAUCAGGAGGAACACCGGUGGCGAAGGCGGGUCUCUGGGCCGUAACUGACGCUGAGGAGCGAAAGCAUGGGGAGCGAACAGG
rnacentral:rRNA from 1 species